UGGGGAAUAUUGGGCAAUGGGCGAAAGCCUGACCCAGCGACGCCGCGUGAAGGAAGAAGGUCUUAGGAUUGUAAACUUAAAUCCGCCGGGGAAGAUAAUGACGGUACCCGGAGGGAAGCCACGGCUAACUACGUGCCAGCAGCCGCGGUAAUACGUAGGUGGCGAGCGUUGUCCGGAAUUACUGGGUGUAAAGGGUGAGCAGGCGGGGCAGAAAGUCGAAUGUAAAAGGUAUGAGCUCAACUCAUACAUGCAUACGAAACUUCAGUUCUUGAGUGCGGGAGAGGUAAGCGGAAUUCCCAGUGUAGCGGUAAAAUGCGUAGAUAUUGGGAGGAACACCGGUGGCGAAGGCGGCUUACUGGACCGUAACUGACGCUGAGACACGAAAGCGUGGGGAGCAAACA
rnacentral:rRNA from 1 species